AUGUCUUUGCACAUGGAUUUCACAUGCUGGCUAACUAUCACAAAAAAUGUGCAAAUUGAUACUCAAUUUGAACUAAAACCACGACACUUAUUUUGGAUCGGAGGGAGUAUUAUUUUGAAGAUUCUAGUUUUAAAACUGAAAAUGUGCAUUCUCAGUAUCCAUGUGGCAUUGCAUAUUUUUCAGUUGAACGGUAAAAAGGCCAUGGCUGAUGAGAGAAAAGCGGAGCAGGUACGCUGGCCAGCUGGGUGCAUUUAUGCUGAUGGCUGCAUUGAAGUAGAGCCUGGACGCUUGGUAUUGCAGCACAAUUAUUGA
rnacentral:rRNA from 1 species